UUUCUCGAACUCUUCUCGUAGACUGCGUGACAGUCAAUUGGCACAUAUGUCAUGAAAUAUAGUGAUUUUUGACGACGAGAGGAGGGUGGCCACGGGAGGAUGCAGGAUUAGAUGGCUCAGUGUCAAAUUACUACAUUCAAACCGA
ensembl:ncRNA ZK836.9 ncRNA